GACGAACCGCCCGAACGUUAUUCGGAAUUAUUGGGCUUAAAGGGUGCGUAGGCGGCGCUGUAAGUCGGGUGUGAAAUCCUUCGGCUUAACCGAAGAAUUGCGCCCGAAACUGCAGUGCUCGAGGGAGACAGAGGUAAGCGGAACUGAUGGUGGAGCGGUGAAAUGCGUUGAUAUCAUCAGGAACACCGGUGGCGAAAGGCGGCUUACUGGGUCUCUUCUGACGCUGAGGCACGAAAGCUAGGGGAGCAAACCGGGA
rnacentral:rRNA from 1 species